UAAGCGGAGGAAAAGAAACUAACAAGGAUUCCCCUAGUAACUGCGAGUGAAGCGGGAAAAGCUCAAAUUUAAAAUCUGGCAGCCUUUGGCUGUCCGAGUUGUAAACUAGAGAAGUGUUAUCCGCGCUGGACCGUGUAAAAGUCUCCUGGAAUGGAGCAUCAUAGAGGGUGAGAAUCCCGUCUUUGACAUGGACUACCAGUGCUUUGUGAUGCGCUCUCAAAGAGUCGAGUUGUUUGGGAAUGCAGCUCAAAAUGGGUGGUAAAUUCCAUCUAAAGCUAAAUAUUGGCGAGAGACCGAUAGCGAACAAGUACCGUGAGGGAAAGAUGAAAAGAACUUUGGAAAGAGAGUUAAACAGUACGUGAAAUUGCUGAAAGGGAAACGCUUGAAGUCAGUCGCGUUGGCCAGGAAUCAACCUUGCUUUUGCUGGGCGUACUUUCUGGUUGACGGGUCAGCAUCAAUUUUGACUGUUGGAAAAAGUUCAAGGGAAUGUGGCAUCUUCGGAUGUGUUAUAGCCCUCGUUCGCAUACAGCAGUUGGGAUUGAGGAACUCAGCACGCCGCAAGGCCGGGUUUCGACCACGUUCGUGCUUAGGAUGCUGGCAUAAUGGCUUUAAUCGACCCGUCUUGAAACACGGACCAAGGAGUCUAACAUGCCUGCGAGUGUUUGGGUGGAAAACCCAAGCGCGCAAUGAAAGUGAAAGUUGAGAUCCCUGUCGUGGGGAGCAUUGACGCCCGGACCAGACCUUUUGUGACGGAUCCGCGGUAGAGCAUGCAUGUUGGGACCCGAAAGAUGGUGAACUAUGCCUGAAUAGGGUGAAGCCAGAGGAAACUCUGGUGGAGGCUCGUAGCGAUUCUGACGUGCAAAUCGAUCGUCAAAUUUGGGUAUAGGGGCGAAAGACUAAUC
rnacentral:rRNA from 1 species